GGAAUUGUGGCUCAGUGGUAGAGCGCUUGCCUAGCAUGCAUGAGGCACCAGGUUCGAUCCCUGGAACCA
rnacentral:tRNA from 1 species